UACGUAGGGGGCAAGCGUUGUCCGGAUUUAUUGGGCGUAAAGAGCGUGUAGGCGGCCAAACAGGUCAGCUGUGAAAACUCGAGGCUCAACCUCGAGAGGUCGGUUGAAACCGUUUGGCUAGAGUCCGGAAGAGGAGAGUGGAAUUCCCGGUGUAGCGGUGAAAUGCGCAGAUAUCGGGAAGAACACCUAUGGCGAAGGCAGCUCUCUGGGACGGUACUGACGCUGAGACGCGAAAGCGUGGGGAGCGAACAGG
rnacentral:rRNA from 1 species